UAAAGCAUAACACUGAAGAUGUUAAGAUGGACCUUGAAACGGUUCCGCAAGCAUAAAGGCUUGGUCCUGACUUUACUGUCAGCUCUGGCUAAACUUACACAUGCAAGUAUCCGCACCCCUGUGAGAAUGCCCUCCAGUCUCCCGCCCGGAAAAAAGGAGCCGGUAUCAGGCACGGUAAACACCUGCCCAUGACACCUUGCUUAGCCACACCCUCAAGGGACAUCAGCAGUGAUAGAUAUUAAGCCAUAAGUGAAAACUUGACUUAGUUAAGGCCUAGAGGGCCGGUAAAACUCGUGCCAGCCACCGCGGUUAUACGAGAGGCUCAAGUUGACAGACAACGGCGUAAAGAGUGGUUAGGGAAAUUUUAAACUAAAGCCAAACGUCCUCAAAGCUGUUUAACGCUCCCGAGUUAAGAAGAUCCAUUACGAAAGUAGCUUUACCCAUCCUGACCCCACGAAAGCUGUGACACAAACUGGGAUUAGAUACCCCACUAUGCUCAGCCAUAAAAUUUGAUAGGCCCCUACGCCCCCUAUCCGCCCGGGUACUACGAGCAUCAGCUUAAAACCCAAAGGACUUGGCGGUGCUUCACAUCCGUCUAGAGGAGCCUGUUCUAGAACCGAUAACCCCCGUUGAACCUCACCCUCCCUUGUUAAUACCGCCUAUAUACCGCCGUCGUCAGCCUACCCUGUGAAGGACUAGAAGUGAGCAAGAUUGGUAAGACCCAAAACGUCAGGUCGAGGUGUAGUGUAUGAGAGGGGAAGAAAUGGGCUACAUUUCCUAAAUCAGGAAACACGAACGAUGAACUGAAACAAGCAUUUGAAGGUGGAUUUAGCAGUAAGCAAGAAAACAGAGUGUUCUGCUGAAACAUGCAAUAAAGCACG
rnacentral:ncRNA from 1 species